rnacentral:misc_RNA from 1 species
UCAAACUUGGUCAUUUAGAGGAAGUAAAAGUCGUAACAAGGUUUCCGUAGGUGAACCUGCGGAAGGAUCAUUAACGAAUCGUUAUGGACUUGGCUGUCGCUGGCUCCCUCUGGGGAGCAUGUGCACGCCCGGUUCAAACCUUUCACUUUAACCUCCUGUGCACCUUUGUGGAUCGCGGAUUGGACAUCUUUUGUCAAAGUAACAUUUGGUUUUGGGGGUUGAUUCCUUUGUGACUCUUCACCCUUCGUCUGUCCACGGUUCAUGUCUUUUAUCACAAACUUUUACAAUACAAUCCUAGAAUGCAUAACGAGUUGGGACUUUAGUGACCCUUCUUAAACUUUAUACAACUUUCAACAACGGAUCUCUUGGCUCUCGCAUCGAUGAAGAACGCAGC